AGCAAGUAAAAUGGUUUGAUGGUUAUGCCACAAACAUGCAGAGAGGGAGAAACGGCACGGGCUGCCCUGCCUGUGCCCACUCCUGGCUCAGCUCAGAAGCGUGCCCACUAUGAGAAGAAGUGCCUGCAGUAGCUGGCUCUUGGGGCGUUAAUGGCUAUGGCCUCCCGGAGAAUACUACAGAAUAUUUUAGGUUUACAUUUUGCAGAUGGUGUGCCAAGUCAUUCCCUCAUUCGGCCUAUUAGAUGGUUAGUUUCCUUUUUCUAGUUAAAGGAUUAACUAGAAUUAUCAGUCAUCAUGAGCUUCCCCCCAAGGACAGGUCAAAGGAAAUUAAUGGAAACUGCAGCAAUAGAGACAUGGGUUAGUUCCACAGAAGGAAUUCCUGACUGGGAGAAUUAGCCCUGGCACAGCUUCUAAGGGGGUGGAAUUAGAACCCAUCAUGGAAGCUAGGCAGAGCUGGAAACCCCUGCAGGCUCUGGCUUAGAAUGGAGGUUACAGGCAAAACAGCAGAGUUGGGGGGGGGGGGGCGGGUUAAAUACUUCACCAUAAAAUGUUCCAGAAACUUGAAUCUGAAUGAGGGCCUUUGAAAUAUUUCAGCCUGACCUUUUCACGUGCAGAUGUGAAAACUGUGAUCCAGACCUGGCCAGUGACUUGCUAAGGGCCAUGCAGCUAAGUAACAGCAAAGGUAGAACGCAGGGCUGCAGUCCCUGCCGUGAUUCCCCAACUUGAAUCUAGUAAUGCUCACUAUAGAGGAGACGACAGCCUUCUCAGGUUCUCGGUCCACGGGACUAUAAAAUGGAAUGUUGGGCUUGGCACAUCACAACACAACUGUCUAUUUACAAGUUUAUUCCCAGUCUCCAAUGGAGGUGAACGCCCCAAGGAUAGGGACCAUGACUUCCUCAUCUUUGUCACUGGGUGCCUUCCACAAGGCCUGACACAUAGCAGGUCUUCAGGUGCAGGAGAUUGAGACUCUGUGCUCUCCUUCAGCAAGGCAUAGGUUGAACUCAGAACAAAUAAGUCAGAGAUUAAAUAAAUGUCUUCGCAUAAAGCUGCGAGUUUACAAAGAAGAAUCAAAUGAGGAACCCAAGCAACUGUUGCUUUCACGAAACUUGGAGGUUUCUAAGGCAGUGUUUCCCAAUGUCAAGAUGUCACCGUUUCAAAAGAGAACCUGAAUUCUCAGAAGAUUUCAAUGCAAGAUUUUCACUUGCCUCCAUUUUGCAAAUAAAUAAAUGCCAUAC